AAUCUUUUUCUUCCUCUAUAAAUCAAGAAACAAUCAAAACCCAGCUUUGGGUUUUACCCAAACGCUUCACAAAGAAAAGCCGGUUACAGUUCCCAGUCUCCCGACCUACUACAAGAGAAAAAUAAAAAAAGAAAGGACAAAGUCUAUUAAUUUUGCCACUUUCAUGUUCUGAUGUUCUUAGGCAGGUGGAGAGCUCCAAAGGGAUCGCAUUGAUCUAAUAGUGUUCCUGGAUUACUGAAUGAAUUCAUGGAAACUGGUAUAAGCUUUUGUUGAUUCAGUUCACUCAUUGGAUCAUGCAAUCCCUUCGGAAUUUUCCAUCGGUAGCUCUAAAUUUAUGUCAAGCCUCCUGCUCCUGUUUUUCCAUGGCAGAAAUGUAUCAGCUCACAGCCGGCCAGACAUAUCCUGCAGAACCACAGGUCAGAUUCGAGAUUUUUAUCCGACAACAUUUGGCAAAAAACCAAUAUGAAUUCUCAUUGACAAGCCUAUCAAUCAUCAUUGUUGGAUUUUUCAGUUUCCAUUUUCCAUAUGAUAUUUGUCUAAUUGUUUUGUUAUUGGAUUUUUUUUUAUAAUUUAAAACAGAGAUUUGAACCUUACUUUUUAAGUAAGAGAAUAAUGCAUCAACCAAUGAAUUAAAUGUUCU